GGGGCUGUAGCUCAGUGGCAGAGUGCUUGCCUAGCAAGCAUGUGUGAGGCACUGGAUUCAAUCCUCAGCACCA
rnacentral:tRNA from 1 species